rnacentral:lncRNA from 1 species
AAGCUGAGAUCGUCGAUGUCGAGGAUCCUAAGCCCAUAGAGCCGAGUAAUACUGCCGAAUCUUCUGCUCAUGCUGAUGCAAGUUCUGGCGCUUCUAUCAACACAGACGACGAAGAUGAUUCAGAUACAGGUCCCGAGUGUACUGAAGGUAACAAAAACAUUCCAAAUGGAAAGUGUGGAUUCAUUGCAUGCUCUAUGAUUACACCAAAUAAAUAUAGAGAAGUUUCCUUUGAUUGUCCUCAUAAUACCUGCUACGAUAAAGAAUCGGACAGUUGUGAGUGGGAAAAAAAAUAAUU